rnacentral:lncRNA from 1 species
CAGUCAAUGGGGUCAGUGGGUUUUAUGGGGUCAGUCAAUGGGGUCAGUGGGGCGUAUGGGGUCGAUCAAUGGGGUCAGUGGGAUCUGUGGGGUCAGUGGGGCAAUCAGUGGGGUCAGUGGGAUCUAUGGGGUCAGUGGGGUCUAUGGGGUCAGUCAAUGGGGUCAGUGGGGUGUACGGGGUCAAUCAAUGGGGUCAGUGGGAUCUGUGGGGUCAGUGGGGCGUAUGGGGUCAGUCAAUGGGGUCAGUGGGGUGUAUGGGGUCAGUCAUGGGGUCAGUGGGGUGUAUGGGGUCAGUCAAUGGGGUCAGUGGGGUGUAUGGGGUCGAUCAGUGGGGUCAGUGGGGCGCAUGGGGUCGAUCAAUGGGGUCAGUGGGAUCUAUGGGGUCAGUGGGGUGUAUGGGGUCAGUGGGGUCGAUGGGGUCAGUCAAUGGGGUCAGUGGGGUGUAUGGGGUCAGUCAGUGGGGUCAGUGGGAUCUAUGGGGUCAGUGGGUUUUAUGGGGUCAAUCAGUGGGGUCAGUGGGGUGUACGGGGUCAAUCAAUGGGGUCAGUCAGUGCGGUCAGUGUGAUCUAUGGGGUCAGUGGGGUGUAUGGGGUCAAUCAAUGGGGUCAGUCAGUGGGGUCAGUGGGAUCUAUGGGGUCAGUGGGAUCUAUGGGGUCAGUCAAUGGGGUCAGUGGGGUGUAUGGGGUCAAUCAGUGGGGUCAGUGGGAUCUAUGGGGUCAGUGGGGCAAUCAGUGGGGUCAGUGGGGUGUAUGGGGUCAGUCAGUGGGGUCAGUGGGGCAAUCAGUGGGGUGUAUGGGGUCAGUGGGGUCUAUGGGGCCAAUCAAUGGGGUCAGUGGGUUUUAUGGGGUCAAUCAGUGGGGUCAGUGGGAUCUAUGGGGUCAGUCAGUGGGGUCAUGGGGGCGUAUGGGGUCAGUCAAUGGGGUCAGUGGGGUGUAUGGGGUCAGUCAGUGGGGUCAGUGGGGUGUAUG